UGUGGUUACUAUAGCAAAGAGGAUACACCUGUUCCCAUUCCGAACACAGAAGUUAAGCUCUUUAGCGCUGAAGGUACUUGGGGGGAGACCCCCUGGGAGAUUAGGACGUAGCCACUU
rnacentral:rRNA from 1 species